rnacentral:rRNA from 1 species
CACGUAGGGCGCAAGCGUUGUCCGGAAUUAUUGGGCGUAAAGAGCUCGUAGGCGGUCUGUUGCGUCUGCUGUGAAAACCCGGGGCUUAACCCCUGGCUUGCAGUGGAUACGGACAGACUAGAGGUAGGUAGGGGAGAAUGGAAUUCCCGGUGUAGCGGUGAAAUGCGCAGAUAUCGGGAGGAACACCAAUGGCGAAGGCAGCUCGCUGGGACGGUACUGACGCUGAGACGCGAAAGCGUGGGGAGCAAACAGG